GCCAAAAAUCCAAAUUUCAACGCAUACAACAGAACUGCCUGAUUCCACUGAAUUUACUGUGUUUUAACAAUCGUAUACACCACAAACUACAGCAAUGACUCCGUUAACUUCAGCUUGAUGAACAAGGCCAUAAACAGUUCAAAAGACCAAGAUGACUGCCAUGUAACGGGGAGAGAAAUUUUCAUGCAGAAAUGGUUCAAGUGGACAUUGGAAAGAGCAAUCUUCAAAGAAAUCUAGGCAGCUCUAAGAUGUCCAUAGCUACUCUCUCAAAUGGCCGGGCUGACAGGGACCCACCCAUAGGGGCAUUAUGGGAAGGAACGGGACCACGACGAGUCUGACAGAUCUUACACUGUUCACACCACGCUUUAAUGUCCCUGUACAUGGAAGGCCAGUAACAAAACUGUCUCGCCUGUUCCCACGCACGCUCAGAAGAGAAGUGGGCUGAAGUUGGGGGUCCAUGCAGCUGCAAAAGAAUUUCAGAGGUCAUAGCAGAAGGAACAACCACUUAAACUAGGAUCGCCUGUGAGGGAACAGACUACAGAGCGACACAACAGCCCAUCAAUGAUUGAGAGCCGACUGAACUCAGUCCACAACUUCCAUAAACAACACUCCUCUGAGCUUUCUACUCUAUGGUCUUUGUGACUGCGCCACCCAGACCGAAACAGUUUCAAUAUCUGGGUCAGCUUGCUGCAUAGCCCUAAAGGUAGACAAAUCACAGGACAAAGCUGAUAGGGAAAACCUGCAGUCUGAAUUGUCCAUCAAGCUCACAACAGUCUCUCUCUCUGCGGAGUCAGUGAACUCAGUAGGGCAGUAAAUAUCAGCACUGGGUUGACUAGAACUCACAACAUUCACUUCAACAACCUUAUCACCACUGGACUCCACUGCACUCAAGCCAGUUGUAUCAGGGCGUCGAGACAGUGCAUCUGCAUUCCUGUGACACUGUCCAACUUUAUGAACAAUGGUCCAAUUCAGUGGGUCAAGCUCCAGAAUCCACCUUCCUCUCCUUCCUGUUGGGUCAUCAUCAAUAGAUAUACGCCGAGCCGUGAAGAGUGGACGAUGGUCUGUAAUAAUGGUAAAAGCAGUAAGUCCAAUGUAAUGUCUAAAUUUCCUCACUGCCCAUACAAUAGCCCACAUUUCACGAUCAAAUGUGGAACAACGCUUCUGUGUGGAGUUCAAUGACCGACUGGCAUACGCAACUAUAUGCUCAAGUCCACUCCUUUCUUGGGCUAAAACUGCACCCACGGCCGAAUUUGAGGCAUCUGUGUAGAUUUUAAAAGGCAGGCUAAAGUCGGGCAGCAUUAUUACAGGUUCAGAUGACAACACGCCUUUCAGAAGUUUGCCCUUUCACACUCUGCAGUCCAUACAAAUGGCACGUUCUUCCCAACCAGCUGGUUGAGAGGAGCCGCAUGUUUAGAAAAGUCCUUAAUAAAUCGCCUAUAAUAUGAGCAAAGUCCCACAAAAGCUCAGACGGUGACUGGGUAACCGGCCAGCUUACAACUUUCUCUGUGUUCCUUGGAUCAGGCUGAAGACCUGUACUAGAAACAACGUGACCCAGAAAAACCACAUGAUCCCUAGCGAGAUGACAUUUCAUUGGGUUCAGUCUCAAGCCAGCCAAUCGAAUUCUCGAAAACACCUCUCUCAAGUUUAGCAUGUGCUCCUCAAACGUUUUGCUGUCGAUCAAAAUAUCAUCCAGAUAAACCAUGCAGAUGUGCCAUGGGAGCCCUCUAAGAAAAAGCUCCAUCAACCGCUGAAAUGUGGCAGGGGAAUUUGAAAGGCCCAUUGGCAUGGAUUGCCACUGAUAUAGUCCCUGUCCUGUUGUAAAUGCAGUCUUUUCUCUGUCCUCCUCUGCAACUUCCACUUGCCAGUAGCCAUUUGAGAAAUCCAAUGUGCUGAACCAUUCAGAGCCAGCCAGUGCAUCCAGGGUAUCAUCCACACGAGGCAGAGGAUGUGAGACCUUUACAGUCACAUUGUUCAAUCAUCUGUAGUCAACACAGAAAUGCCAAGCCCCACAUUUCUUUUUCACCAAAACUACUGGUGAUGCCCAGGGACUACAGCUCUCCUCAAUAACACUCUUGGCCAGCAAGCUAGCUACUUGUCUCCCUAUUUCGGCGCGUUUCUCAGGAGAUGCACGAUAUGCACGCUGUUUAAUAGGAGUCUGAUCACCCGUUCUAAUGUAAUGUUUCAUCAGCUGACAUUUCCCCACCUUUUGCCUGUCAGAGCUAAAUAUUUCGUUAUACUCCAACAGUAAUGCUGAAAGUGCAGCUCUUUCUGAUUUGGAGAUAGGUGACUCAUUCAAUGACACCAGAGAUGCUGCUGUUAAAGUUGUUGCUGCCGCUAUAUCAACAGGAGCAUGAAGAAACUUAACAUCAGAGUCAUCAACUGAGUAAAACUCACCCAGGUGCAUAUCCUGUUUCACUAAAAUGUCCUGUCCCGUAGGAUUCAAAAUCCGAGCUUUCGUCAGUACCUUGUGAACAGUAGUCACUGUGUGCGCCAUGACAAGGCCUGAAGAGGCUGCCACAUUAGGUUCCAAAUAGCCCACAAAGUCACUCACCAACUCAGCUGGGUAUGUUGAACACACUUUAACUGGUACCACUGACUCGCUGAAAGGUGGCAGGUUCAUAGUGGUAGCCAGUGACACAUUUCAGCACAUCAGAAUGAAAUCUUUGCUGGUAAGAAGAGGAACUGAGAUGUCCCACAACUGAAGCUUCGCACAGCUAAGGUCUAGUAAAGCAUGAUUUUUCAAUAGAAAGUCCCAUCCCAACAAUACAGCCUGAGUGGUUUCCCUUAAAACUUGAAAAACAUGCUGAAACGAUUCAGUUCCUAACUGCAGUGUUACCUUAAUUGUGCCCAAUGUAUCCAGCAUCUGUCCAUUUACAGCACAGGCUGCCACAUAGUCCUUUUUCAGGGGGCGGUUACGCAGUGCUGGAACCGACAUGCGGAAAUCCGAGAUUAUAAGAGAUACACUAGAACCAGAGUCCACUAAUAUCUGAACUUCCACACCUUCAAUUACUCCUCUCAUAUAUGAAACCAGCAGUUCCUGGCUAGUUUUCUGAUCUCGAACUAUUGCCGGUGCAUUGCGUCAUUCACCUUCCCCUGGAGACAUAAAACGCACCCCGCGCUUCCGUGAGUCCUCCUCGUAACUCAUCCGUCUGCGAGGACCAGGACUUGGGCUGCACCUUGCAGAAAAGUGAGAUGGGUAUGGGUCUUUAUAGUCACGAAAAUCCAUGCUUGACUUACGGUCAUCACUCUGUUGAAAUAAUUUCCUCUCUGGUGACCGGCCCCUCUGCGUUGAAUUAAAGACCCGCGACUGGCAUCCAUGGCUCCCGCAAACACUCUGGCACAUCCCUCUGAAUUGAGAGGGGCUUUCAGCCUACUCAUCCAAAUAAUGGCUCUCUCUAGCUUUCGGUCGAUGGUUUUCAUUCCCCAAACGCCUCAGCUCAAUUCUCAUGUCCCUCAUUUCCCCAGCCAGUAUAUCCACUAAUCUGUAAAGUCCUCCACUGUCCAUCCCAGAGUGAACUGCAGCCACUGCCUCUCCCAAGUUAUUACUGUAAGGAGCAUUAAACGGCAUAUACUCAGUCUUUACAGCAUCUCUUGCAUUUUCACACCGACCUGUGAUUAUCACAGCCUCCUCCAAAUCCGUGGCUCCUUGUUCAUGGCAUUUCGCUCUGAGCAUAGGAUCCAGACCAGCUAGGAAACGACAAAAUUUCUCCUCUCUCUGGGCUUUGUCCCCAUAUUCCGGAAGGGCCUCAUCAACCAAUCUGCUGAUCUCUGCCGCAUACACCUCCAAAUUUUCACGCGCAGCACGGGGGCAGGCUGAUAGACUGGCCCUGAAGCGAUCCAUAAACUGCCUUUGCCUGAAAGCCUCCUUCACUAUAUAAGCACUUUUGGUGCUAAUAUAACUAGAUAAACAUACGCCACAAAACUGUUUGCCGGAAACACUAAACAAAACAAAACCGCUGCCGCCAGUGUAACCGAACGUUAUUCCUGGGUUCGCCUAAAUACUAAAUAAAGGAACUAAGAAAUGAAAUAACGAAAUUUCGUGGUUCCAACACCACCUUUAUUUCUGUGCUGCACAUCUCCAGAAAACUCUUAAAACACUGCCCGAAAACUCAAGUAUCUUGUGCGCAUGUACACUUGCCUACCUACAGCAAGUCCAGAAGGCGAAAAUGCAUUCACACACACAUACAAAAUGAAUAUUAAGCAUCUAUAAUUACUUUAAAUAGAAUAACUAUUAAGUCUGUUACACUUGCAUUGUUUACUCGGUAGGGCAAUUAUUUAAAAAACGUUUAAAUUUGGCUUGCUGACAGGCUAGAUAAGCAAACACUAUAGCUUCUAUUAAAUGAGCCAAAAGCUUAGCUCUUUACAAAGUACAAAAUCUGAAUAGAAUAAAUUGCCAUUAAUUACAAAAGAAAAGAAUCAGGCAUUGAAGGCUUAACACCAUAAAGUCAUAAUACGCUCCAGACAAAACAUUUCAAGAAUCAAAAAUAUAAAAUAAAAAUAAAUUAAAUAAAUAAUAUAACAAAGAAAAUGUAUAAUUACAACAAAUUAUAUAAUACAAACAAAUUAAACAGUUUAACUGCUUUUGGAUUUUUCAUUUUACUGAAGGCAUCUGCAGAGGUGGAUAGCAACGAAUUAUUUACUUAAGUAAAUUUUUGGGGUAACUUGUACUUUUAGAGUAUAUUUAAAGAUGUGUACUUUUACUCUUACUCAAGUACAUUUUUAGUGAAAAAACUUUCGCUACAUUUGGCAGCGUUCCUCCGUUACUGUCAAAUGUUAAUAACUAUGAGAUUUUUAAAAUAAUUAGUUUAUAUGGCUCGCGAGACAUUGCGGCUGCUUCGCGAAAGGCUGCUUACAUAUCUCCCACUUACGUUUAGCACAUCAAUCAAUCAAAUCAAAUCUAAACACAUGUUUAGUUGGAAGAUGAUGGCUGAAGCAGGGAAAGACGUAUGCGAAUUGUCAGAGGCAGAUCACCCAUGGCCUCAAGUUUAGUUUAUUUUUCACUCCAAGAUGUCAAAAAGAAUAGUUUCAUAAUGCGAUGCUGUGUGCACCAAAACAAACUGACAUCGCAGUGUACAAGAAUUCCGGCUCCAAACUGAAAAAACGCGUAGCAGUAAGUGUCAAUGCCUAUUUGAACCCUUUUAAUGGUCAUUUGAUAUGGGCACAUUGACCUUAUUUUAAUAUACAUUUCUCACACUGUCCGAAUGUUUUUCCUCAUAUGCCCUUUCGUGCAAGCAAUGACAAACAUCUAGUGAACCAUACAAACACACGUUCAUGAACAAACGUUCAUUCUAAACGUCUGCACAAUUUCAUAUCCAUUUUCCACAAAAAUAAAUAAAUUGAACUGCACACUGUGACGUCUUGCAUUUAUACACCAAUAUGGACACCUCAACAAAAUGUAGAACAUACAUACAAAAUUAAAACGGGAUUGUAUUUUAUUUUAUUCCUACCCAAAGAAUGCAUGUACUUCUAAUAUAUUCUAAAAAUAUAUUAUUAUUUCAUUAGAGGAUUCACCAAACAAGCUUAAGGUUUAUGCAGAACUAAUCAAGUAAAAAAAAAACGAGGAUCAGUCAACAGUAAAAUUCUGUAAAACUGAUUGUUCAAGAAAGAACAUAUGACAAAAUAAACAUUCACAAAAUGUGGGCAAAUGUGGACAAAACAGGGCAAACACAAACAAGUUCAUACACAAACAUAAUAACAAACACACACCUUCUCUUUUGUUCUCUGUUAGCUUGUUUAA